rnacentral:rRNA from 1 species
GAUGAACGCUGGCGGCGUGCUUAACACAUGCAAGUCGAACGAUGAAGCCCAGCUUGCUGGGUGGAUUAGUGGCGAACGGGUGAGUAACACGUGAGUAACCUGCCCUUAACUCUGGGAUAAGCCUGGGAAACUGGGUCUAAUACCGAAUAGGAGCGCCUACCGCAUGGUGGGUGUUGGAAAGAUUUAUCGGUUUUGGAUGGACUCGCGGCCUAUCAGCUUGUUGGUGAGGUAAUGGCUCACCAAGGCGACGACGGGUAGCCGGCCUGAGAGGGUGACCGGCCACACUGGGACUGAGACACGGCCCAGACUCCUACGGGAGGCAGCAGUGGGGAAUAUUGCACAAUGGGCGAAAGCCUGAUGCAGCGACGCCGCGUGAGGGAUGACGGCCUUCGGGUUGUAAACCUCUUUCAGUAGGGAAGAAGCGAAAGUGACGGUACCUGCAGAAGAAGCACCGGCUAACUACGUG